UACGAAGGGGGCGAGCGUUGUUCGGAAUCACUGGGCGUAAAGGGCGCGUAGGCGGCCCUCUUAGUCGCGUGUGAAAGCCCCGGGCUCAACCGAGGAAGUGCGCCCGAAACUGCAGAGCUUGAGUACCGGAGAGGAUGGCGGAAUUCCCCAAGUAGAGGUGAAAUUCGUAGAUAUGGGGAGGAACACCGGUGGCGAAGGCGGCCAUCUGGACGGAUACUGACGCUGAGACGCGAAAGCGUGGGGAGCAAACAGG
rnacentral:rRNA from 1 species